GGGCUGGGGCUCAGUGGUAGAGUGCUUUCCUAGCAUGUGUGAGGGACUGGGUUCAAUCCCCAGCACCACA
rnacentral:tRNA from 1 species